UCUCCCUCAUCUCCUAAAUAGCACAUAAACUUUGUCUGGACCACACAAAUAGUUCACAUUUUUAAAAAAUGCCUGCUCAUCCCUAGUAAGCAGCAUGGCUGAAUGCUGAAAUUGGUCUAGUGUAGCUGAAGAGUUGUGCUGCCAUGCUUUAGCAGCAUUAAUUCUGACUUCUCCAUUUCUUAUCCAGCUGCAUGAAGCAGCGGAAGGCAGUCACUAACGCAACCCAUGCUCUGAAGCGGGAAAGAGCUAUUUGGGAAGCCGGACCAGCAGUGUGAAUAAACAAAGGAUACCUGAUAAAAUAAUGACCAGGCUAUGCGACUGUACUGUCAUAAAUAAUAAAAUGACAACUCGGUUCAACAAAUCCAGUCAUAUGAACACAUAAAAUAAGGAGCUCAGGGUAGAAACGUGAAGGUUGCUGUAGUACCACACCAUAGGUAGUACACCGAAGCCGUAUCUGUUCAAUCAGAACAAUAGACGUACGUGAAGGCAUAAGAGAAACCGUAUUUACAAACAGUAAACUUUGGAUAAGAUAGCAUUACUGCUAUCGCCAGGAAAGCCUGAGAAAUCUCUGUCUUCUUCAGGCACCUGCAAAAUUGUUAGUCCAGGCAAGGCUCUACCUCGCAAACUCUCGGCGGCUCUCCUCUGCCUUUGCUCACCAGAGCGCACAGGGUUUGUUUGAUCUCUGCUCCCAGUCUUGGCAAGCCCUGACUCUGCCUGAAUGAAGCACCACACAAAUAGACCUAUACACGGCAAGGAGAGGUGAAACGCAGAGCAAAUCUCACCGUAUGAAUUUGUAUGACAUGGCAACAGGAUGGCUCAAUUUAUUUGCAAGAGCAGUAAAGAUUGUUCACUUCUAUUGCAUUAGCUUGAAUCCCAGCCAGAUCAGAGAGUCUAAGGACUUCGGGCCUGUCCAGUUUGGAGAAAAGGAGGCUGAGGGGUGACCUCGUUGCUCUCUGCAGCUUCCUGAGGAGGGGACGUGGAGAGGGAGGUGCUGAGCUCCUCUCCCUGGGAUCCAGUGGGAGGUCACGUGGGAAUGGUUCCAAGUUGCACCAGGGGAGCUUUGGACUGGACAUUAGGAAGGAUUUUUUUGCCAAGAGGAUGGUCAAACACUGGAACAGGUUUCCUACAGAGGUGACUGAUGCUCCACACCUGUCAGUGCUUAGGAAGCAUUUCGACAAUGUCCUUAACAACAUGCUUUAACUUUUGGUCAGCCCUGAAGUGGUCACAGUUGGACUAGAUGAUUGUUUCAGUCCUUUCCAACUGAAAUAGUCUAUUCUAUCCUGCCCUCUGAAGGACAGCCCCAGACUGCGCUCAUGCCUUGCCUUUAUCCCUCUAACUUUGUUUCCUUUUCCUCCCAAUGUAUUUCCAUCCUUUGAUCGCUCAAAUCCUGGUAAAAAAUGAAUAGCUAUUUAUUCUUACAAGUAGUUUUGACCUUCAGCUCCGAUUCCUGCUUUUUUGAGAUCAUGAAGUCUUAGGUGGGUUCCUUCCAGUUGUGAGGAGACUUCCUGCUGAGUGGCCUCCUACUCUGUCCGCAUCCUCAGCUCCUGUGAGGAAGAGCUGGGACAGCCCUCUGUUGCUGAGCAUCUUUUGGUGAGGAUGGGUGUGAGAAGUGUGGCCAUAAGUGCCUCCCAAAGACAUGCUGGGGGCAGGAUGGAAAGGAGAAAGUAAUGUGAAGCUUGGAGAAAGCUUCUGGACAGUUAGGCUGUCAUGCUUUUCCGGUUGG